AUUGAACGCUGGCGGCAUGCUUUACACAUGCAAGUCGAGCGGCAGCGCGGGGGCAACCCUGGCGGCGAGCGGCGAACGGGUGAGUAAUGCAUCGGAACGUAUCCUCUAGUGGGGGAUAACCCAGCGAAAGUUGGGCUAAUACCGCAUGAGCUCUGAGGAGGAAAGCGGGGGACCUGCGAGGGCCUCGCGCUGGAGGAGCGGCCGAUGUCCGAUUAGCUAGUUGGUGGGGUAAAGGCUUACCAAGGCGACGAUCGGUAGCUGGUCUGAGAGGAUGAUCAGCCACACUGGGACUGAGACACGGCCCAGACUCCUACGGGAGGCAGCAGUGGGGAAUUUUGGACAAUGGGGGCAACCCUGAUCCAGCCAUGCCGCGUGAGUGAAGAAGGCCUUCGGGUUGUAAAGCUCUUUCGGACGGAACGAAAUGGGCGGGACUAAUACUCCUGUCUGAUGACGGUACCGUAAGAAGAAGCACCGGCUAACUACGUG
rnacentral:rRNA from 1 species